rnacentral:piRNA from 14 species
GCCCGGAUAGCUCAGUCGGUAGAGC